rnacentral:rRNA from 1 species
UACGUAGGGGGCAAGCGUUGUCCGGAUUUAUUGGGCGUAAAGAGCGUGUAGGCGGUUUGGUAGGUCCGCUGUGAAAACUCGAGGCUCAACCUCGAGACGCCGGUGGAAACCAUCAGACUAGAGUCCGGAAGAGGAGAGUGGAAUUCCUGGUGUAGAGGUGAAAUUCGUAGAUAUUGGGAAGAACACCGGUGGCGAAGGCGGCUCACUGGCCCGUAACUGACGCUCAUGCACGACAGCGUGGGGAUCAAACAGG